rnacentral:rRNA from 1 species
GGAAUUGACGGGGCCCGCACAAGCAGCGGAGCGUGUGGUUUAAUUCGAUGCUACACGAAGAACCUUACCAGGGCUUGACAUGCAUGUGGUAGCGAAGCGAAAGCGGAGCGACCCUUCGGGGAGCAUGCACAGGUGCUGCAUGGCUGUCGUCAGCUCGUGUCGUGAGAUGUUCGGUUAAGUCCGCUAACGAGCGCAACCCUCGCCGUGUGUUAUACGUGUCACGCGGGACUGCCAGUCUUAAGCUGGAGGAAGGUGGGGAUGACGUCAAGUCAGCAUGGCCUUUAUGUCCUGGGCUACACACACGCUACAAUGGCCAGUACAAUGGGUAGCGAAGCCGCGAGGCGAAGCCAAUCCUCCAAAGCUGGUCUCAGUUCAGAUUGCAGGCUGCAACCCGCCUGCAUGAAGAUGGAGUUGCUAGUAACCGCAGGUCAGCUAUACUGCGGUGAAUACGUUCCCGGGCCUU